CGCUGGCGGCGUGCUUAACACAUGCAAGUCGAACGAUGAAGCCCAGCUUGCUGGGUGGAAGAGUGGCGAACGGGUGAGUAACACGUGAGUAACCUGCCCUGAACUCUGGGAUAAGCACUGGAAACGGUGUCUAAUACUGGAUACGACCUAUCACCGCAUGGUGUGUGGGUGGAAAGAUUUAUCGGUUCUGGAUGGACUCGCGGCCUAUCAGCUAGAUGGUGAGGUAAUGGCUCACCAUGGCGACGACGGGUAGCCGGCCUGAGAGGGUGACCGGCCACACUGGGACUGAGACACGGCCCAGACUCCUACGGGAGGCAGCAGUGGGGAAUAUUGCACAAUGGGCGCAAGCCUGAUGCAGCAACGCCGCGUGAGGGAUGACGGCCUUCGGGUUGUAAACCUCUUUUAGUAGGGAAGAAGCGAAAGUGACGGUACCUGCAGAAAAAGCACCGGCUAACUACGUGCCAGCAGCCGCGGUAAUACGUAGGGUGCAAGCGUUGUCCGGAAUUAUUGGGCGUAAAGAGCUCGUAGGCGGCUUGUCGCGUCUGCUGUGAAAACCCGGGGCUCAACCCCGGGCCUGCAGUGGGUACGGGCAGGCUAGAGUGCGGUAGGGGAGAUUGGAAUUCCUGGUGUA
rnacentral:rRNA from 1 species